rfam:Oryctolagus cuniculus chromosome X, whole genome shotgun sequence.
GCUCUUUCUCUCUAAUCCUUGAUACCUGGUGUUAGUGCUUUCUAUGUGCAAUGCACCUGGGCAAGGAUUUAGAGUGGGAUGAGC